UUUUUUUACUUUAAAAAAUAUUAAAUUUCAAGUACUAAGUUUAAAAAUGUUUUCGGCUGAUAUUUUUCAUUUUAAAUUAUUUAUUAAAGUUGGGGUCAUUGUAUGUGGCGAUCUAUUUUUUUACAGUCUAUGCUCGCUAUCCCAAGGUUCAUUGCGAUCCCAAGGUUCACUGCGGUUUUCCACAAGCCUGUUUCUGCCUAUCACCAUGAGUGAUUCCUCAAUACUCAGAUUUAUCAUCAAGAUCUCAAUUAUAAGCUCAAGUUUUGAUGACAACUUGGCGAUCUGCAGAAAGCACCACCAUGUAAGGAAGUCCAAGACCACUCUGGAAUCAGUCAAGGGAUUGCAGUGACCAGACAUGCUACUGUAACUCUCAUGGUCAUGUGCUGGAAUUAGCAGAUGUUCAACAAUUUGGCCAUCUCACUGACCUAUUGAUAUCAGAAGACCGCAACAGCUCUGCAAAGCAAGUUGCAAAACAGAAUCCAUGGAACUGGCAGUGACUGGAAACCAAUUGGAAGACUUUGGUCUGUGAUGUAGAGGAGUGGGCAGAGGCAGAAGCAAAGACAACAAAAAACAGAAGUGAUAUGGAUGUCUUCGUCAUAUGGCAUGACUCUGCUGACCCAGCAACAAAGAGGAGGGUGUUCAACAUCAUCCUGCUAGUCAGGAUUCUUCAGGAGAAGCAGUGGAUUCUUGUGGCAGAGAUGGCCAACCACUAUAAAUACCUUUCAACUCAUCCUGGUUCUUUCAAAGAACUUUCCUGCUUGUUUGCUACUGAAAUAUUCGACAUGUGGCCUAAACGAAGAGGGGUCUAUGGAUCAUUAUUCUCAAAAAGCAACAAAAUAACUGAGAAAUAAACAACAAUACGAUGGUGCAAUCUAGAGACCUGCAAGGUACCUGCAAGUUUUGGCUGGAGCAGAAAACAUACAUUUUUUAAAUAAAGCUCCAGCUGAUGAGUUUGACAUUGACUGUGGAUUUUCUUUUAUUGUAAUCCAGAAGAGGAUGACCUUAACCCUGAAUCUAAAGCAUGUAAUAAAAUCUGUAAAAAUAAAAUAAAAUUUUCAUCAUCUAUAACCAAA
ensembl:processed_transcript